rnacentral:rRNA from 1 species
AUACGGAGGAUCCGAGCGUUAUCCGGAUUUAUUGGGUUUAAAGGGUGCGCAGGCGGCCAUUUAAGUCAGCGGUUAAAUCGUGGGGCUCAACCCCAUUCUGCCGUUGAUACUGGGUGGCUUGAUUGCGGUCGAGGUUGGCGGAAUUCGUUGUGUAGCGGUGAAAUGCAUAGAUAUGACGAAGAAAACCGAUUGCGUAGGCAGCUGACCAGACCGCAAAUGACGCUCAUGCACGAAAGUGCGGGGAUCGAACAGGAUUAGAUACCCUGGUAGUCCGCACAGUAAACGAUGAAUACUUGUUUUCGGCGAUAUAAUGUCGGAGGCAAAGCGAAAGCGAUAAGUAUUCCACCUGGGGAGUACGCCGGCAACGGUGAAACUCAAAGGAAUUGACGGGG